rnacentral:lncRNA from 1 species
AUGGGGGCGAGGCGGGCGGCCCCGCGGGGAGAGGCCGGGGGCGGGUGCGGGCGGCCGGGGCCUAGCGCUCAGCCGGGCGCCGCCGCCGCCGCCAUCGCGGCCGCCGCUCCCGCGGGGCGGGGGAACGGGGCCGCGGUCGGGUGCUCACCUGCCCGUCCUCGGCGGCGCGGGUGGGAGAAGGAGGGGGAGAGGGAAGGAAGCGGGGGCCCCCCCCGCUCCUCCCGGAGCCUCGGCGACCCGGGGAGGGAAGGGGGGGAGGAGGGGAAGGGAGGAGGGAAGAGGAGCAGGAGGAGGGAGCCGGGCGCUCCGGUGCGUGCGAGGAGCCGGAGCCUGGCGGCGGGAGGAGGAGACUCCCCGCCCCUACGGCCGGGCUCUCUGGCGGGCACCUCCGGCCCCUCCUCCGCCGCGCUCCGCCUCGCCCCGCUGCCUGCGGGCGCUCGGGUGAGGCGAGGCAAGGCGCGGCGAGGCGAGGUGAGGCGCCGAGAAGCUCCCAGCAGCUCCGCGCCCGAUCAGAGGCCGCGGGGAGGAGCCGGGCAGCCCCAUCCUCGGCGGCGCCGCGCACCGAGCCAACAUGGUGGCGGCCGCGCGGGGCGGAGGGGAGGCGAGGGGCAGCCCCCGAUCGGGGCCUUUCGGGGAGGGCUGCCCGGAGCCCGGCUGCCUUCCUCCUGCUUGAUGAUGUUCAGGAUGAGGAAGGAGGAGCUGCACUCAUCUGCUGUAGCAUGUGUGGAAAACAGCGUGAGAUGCUGCUGCUGUCGUUUGCUGCUACCAGGUGCUGGGUACCAUUUCCUGACCAGUGUUCAGGCAAGAUCAGUGUCUGUGAACUCAUCAGCUGCACUGCAUUUCUGGUAUUCCAGGAAAAAUGCUGCUGUUAAGGGCAUGCAAGAGUGUGCACAUGGAUGGGCAAAAAGAGGAGCAAGGGCCCUCCUGUAUGGGAAAGUUGCCUCCUGGAUCUCAAGGUGGACUGCUUUGUGUCUCCAAAAGCAGCAGGGCUCCCAGACACGUGAGCUUGCUUCUUCUCCGGGAUGAGUGUGGAUGUGAAGUUUAUGCAGCUGCAUCCCUCUUUCAAGCUAAUUACAUCACAACAAGUGCUUUGGCUCUGAUCCCAAGUGGUCCUGCCCAGAGCCUGAACCAGCCUGCUGCUUUUCCUGGGUGCCUGCCACAGAGGUUACCUCCCUGCUGAGAUCCUGGCAUGUUCCCAGUCCUCUGCAGCACAGGCUUCUUCCUACCUCACAUACCCAGAGCUCAAUGCUGUGGCUAUGCAUCAUGUCUCUGCAUGAGUUCAGCCGGUUUUUCCCUUGGGGAAAGGAGCAUGUCCAGUUUCAUUUAAAAUAAACAUUGCUAAAAUCCAAGAUUCA